ensembl:snRNA U6 U6 spliceosomal RNA
GUUUGUUUCAGCAGCACAUAUACUAAAACUGGAAUGAUACAGAGAAUAUUAGAAUGGCUCCUGUGUAAUAAUGAUACUCAAACUCAUGAAACAUUCUGUAUUUUU